rnacentral:rRNA from 1 species
UACGGAGGGUGCAAGCGUUAAUCGGAAUUACUGGGCGUAAAGCGCGCGUAGGCGGCUUGUUAAGUCGGAUGUGAAAUCCCCGGGCUCAACCUGGGAACUGCAUUCGAUACUGGCUGGCUAGAGUGUGGUAGAGGGAAGUGGAAUUCCAGGUGUAGCGGUGAAAUGCGUAGAUAUCUGGGGGAACAUCAGUGGCGAAGGCGGCUUCCUGGACCAACACUGACGCUCAUGCACGAAGGCUAGGGGAGCAAACGGGAUUAGAAACCCUGGUAGU